CCCUUAGAUGUCCGGGGCUGCACGCGCGCUACACUGAAGGCAUCAGCGUGCUAAAACCAUUGUCGAAAGGCAUUGGUAAACCCAUUAAAAUCCUACGUGAUUGGGAUCGGGAAUUGCAAUUAUUUCCCUUGAACGAGGAAUUCCCAGUAAGUGUGGGUCAUAAGCUCGCGUUGAUUACGUCCCUGCCCUUUGUACACACCGCCCGUCGCUGCCCGGGACUGAGCCGUUUCGAGAAAAGCGGGGACUGCUGCUGUCGGGGCUUUCGGGCCUUGGCUUCGGUGGAAACCGCUUUAAUCGCAGUGGCUUGAACCGGGCAAAAGUCGUAACA
rnacentral:rRNA from 1 species